rnacentral:rRNA from 1 species
GAUGAACGCUGGCGGCGUGCCUAAUACAUGCAAGUCGAGCGAACAGACGAGGAGCUUGCUCCUCUGACGUUAGCGGCGGACGGGUGAGUAACACGUGGAUAACCUACCUAUAAGACUGGGAUAACUUCGGGAAACCGGAGCUAAUACCGGAUAAUAUAUUGAACCGCAUGGUUCAAUAGUGAAAGACGGUUUUGCUGUCACUUAUAGAUGGAUCCGCGCCGCAUUAGCUAGUUGGUAAGGUAACGGCUUACCAAGGCAACGAUGCGUAGCCGACCUGAGAGGGUGAGCGGCCACACUGGAACUGAGACACGGACCAGACUCCUACGGGAGGCAGCAGUAGGGAAUCUUCCGCAAUGGGCGAAAGCCUGACGGAGCAACGCCGCGUGAGUGAUGAAGGUCUUCGGAUCGUAAAACUCUGUUAUUAGGGAAGAACAAAUGUGUAAGUAACUAUGCACGUCUUGACGGUACCUAAUCAGAAAGCCACGGCUAACUACGUG